rnacentral:misc_RNA from 1 species
UGAAAACAACAAAAGUCAAAACUACAUUGACUUGAUAGAAAAAAAACAAUAUUAAUUGAUUGACUUGAUAUAUAAUGUUAUAAACAAUUAAAAUUUGAAAUAAAAAUAUUUAACAAUGGCAUCGACAAAUGAAUUUGGACCAGAUUCUGGUGGAAGAAUAAAGGGAUUAUCAAUUGUAAAACCACUUGUUUAUGGUAAUGUUGCAAGAUAUUUUGGUAAAAAAAGAGAAGAAGAUGGUCAUACACAUCAAUGGACUGUCUAUGUAAAACCAUUUAAUAAUGAGGACAUGUCAGUUUAUGUUAAAAAAAUGCAUUUUAAAUUGCAUGAAAGUUACAAUAAUCCAAACAGAAUUCUUACAAAACCACCAUAUGAAGUAACUGAAACUGGCUGGGGUGAAUUUGAAAUUGUUAUUAAAAUAUAUUUUCAUGAUCCAAAUGAAAGACCAGUAACAAUAUAUCAUAUAUUAAAAUUAUUUCAAACAUCACCAGACAUACAGACUGGAAGAAAAAAUUUAGUAUCUGAAUUUUAUGAAGAAAUUGUAUUUCAAGAUCCAACAGCAUAUAUGCAACAUUUACUUAGUAUAACUAGGCCAAUGACACUUGGAGACUGGCGACAUGAAACUGAUUUUGAAGCAAAAAAAGAAUCUACAUACAAAGCCAUUACUGAAGCAAGAAAUCGUGUACGUCAUGAAGUUAUUGAUUUAAAAGAAAAGCUGACACUAGCAAAAGAAACGAUUGCAAAAUUUAAAGCUGAAAUAGCAAAAAUUUCAAAAGGAAAUAUUAUUUCAGUCGCACAAUAAUUGAAUAUUUUAUAUUUAGCAUUAAUUUUAUUUUUUAUAUUAAAAAUUAUCAUCUAAAAAUUUAUAUUGUAAAAUACUUUUUAUCUUUACUUAAUUCAUUAAUCAUUAAAAAGAAAAAAAAACUAAUAAAUUUUAGUCUCAUAUUAUUUUUGUAAUGAUAAGAAUUUCAGUCCAACUUGUUUUGGAGACAAGAGAAAAAAAAAAAUAUUCUUUUUGAUAAAAACAGAUGUUUAUUAAUAACAUUUGAAUAGUUACGUGACCUAACUCUUCAAGGUAUCAACAAUUUUAUAUGCUGACUUGCGGAAAAUAUUGAUACUAUAACCAAAUUUACAGAAAAUACAUAAUCAUCUGUGUAGAAAACAAAAAAAAUAAAUAAAAACACACCGGUACAAAUAUUAAAAUUAAAAGAUAUAAUUCAUUCAAAAGAUAAGUAAUGACUGAAUGAGUUACCAAGUUUAUCGAGUCAUUUGCAAGUGAAAAUUUUUAUAAAUUAUUUAUUUUAAAACUGAUUAAAGCACCAACCUCAUCAAGCAAUAAAUCAUGACAACGAACGACAGUGGAGCAAAAAACUAGGUGUUGAAUUUGGUCUUGGUGCACUUGCUGCAACUGGUGCUGGAAUAUUUACAAAUCCAAUUGAUGUUAUUAAAAUACGUUUACAA